UACAGAGGUCCCAAGCGUUUGUCCGGAUUUAUUGGGCGUAAAGAGCGUGUAGGCGGCCAUACAGGUCAGCUGUGAAAACUCGAGGCUCAACCUCGAGACGUCGGUUGAAACCGUAUGGCUAGAGUCCGGAAGAGGAGAGUGGAAUUCCCGGUGUAGCGGUGAAAUGCGCAGAUAUCGGGAAGAACACCUAUGGCGAAGGCAGCUCGCUGGGACGGUACUGACGCUGAGACGCGAAAGCUAGGGGAGCAAACGGG
rnacentral:rRNA from 1 species